CCUACGGGAGGCAGCAGUGGGGAAUUUUGGACAAUGGGCGAAAGCCUGAUCCAGCCAUACCGCGUGCGGGAAGAAGGCCUUCGGGUUGUAAACCGCUUUUGUCAGGGAAGAAAUGCUUCGGGCUAAUACCCUGGGGUGAUGACGGUACCUGAAGAAUAGGCACCGGCUAACUACGUGCCAGCAGCCGCGGUAAUACGUAGGGUGCAAGCGUUAAUCGGAAUUACUGGGCGUAAAGCGUGCGCAGGCGGUUCUAUAAGACAGAUGUGAAAUCCCCGGGCUCAACCUGGGAACUGCAUUUGUGACUGUAGAGCUAGAGUACGGUAGAGGGGGAUGGAAUUCCGCGUGUAGCAGUGAAAUGCGUAGAUAUGCGGAGGAACACCGAUGGCGAAGGCAAUCCCCUGGACCUGUACUGACGCUCAUGCACGAAAGCGUGGGGAGCAAACAGGAUUAGAUACCCUGGUAGUCCACGCCCUAAACGAUGUCAACUGGUUGUUGGGAGGGUUUCUUCUCAGUAACGAAGCUAACGCGUGAAGUUGACCGCCUGGGGNGGACGGCGCGAGGUGUAACGUACGAAGAAGUGNGGNGUGNGNGNGCGAGGCGACGACGAGGGAGGAGG
rnacentral:rRNA from 1 species